UUUUUUCUUUCUUUUGCUUUCAUUUUUAAAAACAGUGGAUUGACACAUCUAAUGUAGUUUACUCAGACUAACAUUAAUACCCCAGAAAUGUUUACAACCAAGGAGAUGGGAGCAAAGUAGGUCUCUAGCAACCCUGACGCAUGCUCAUUGGUUGCUGGUUAUCCAGAAAAAGCUGCGACCUACAGACAGAUAUAGGCAGAUGGGGAGAUAGACAGGCACAUAUAGAUACAUAAAUAUGUACAUGAUCUAUAAUACAUAUGCAUAAUAUAUCCGAUGCUAUUCAUUAAGCCAUUAUAUUUCCAUUUUCAGAUUUAACUUUUUUAAUUGUAUAUAUACACAUACACACACAUAUAUUUAUCAUAUGGUGAUUUACACUUCAGUGUUCCAUACGUGUUUCAAUUAUGCAUGUAUAUAUAUAACAUGUAUAUGGUUUUUAGAAUUCCACCUGGGAAGCUGAAACUUAAUGGCUUAAUGAAAUAGCAUCUGACAGCUAAUUGCCGGGAAGAAUAAGUACGAUUCUUUACUCUCUGGAUUUGACCAUAAACUCAAGUAAUAGGAAAUGCCCAGGAGGAAAAUUGGUUUCUAAAAACUAACAACCCAAUAGAACACGGCUCCCAGCAUGGGACACGCUUCUCUUUCUCUACCAUUUUUUGGGUGGAAUUUAGGGUCAUCAAAGGGUGGUGGCCAUUGUGUACAGGACUCGGUGGACGGGCAAAGGUAGCUGUGCUGACCUGAGCUUGCUUGGAGCCAACAGAGCAAAGAAAGAAAUUGGUUUUGAGAUAGCAGGCGUCAAGGAAAUGAGACAUCAAAUGGAGUGGGCUUACCAGUGGAAUCAGAGCAGAGACAAAGGAGGUCGCCCUCCUGCUCAAGGGCAGACUCUGCCUGGUGAGAUGGGAAGACUCAAUGGGGCAGAGCAGAGACAUGGCCAGGCUGGAACACACGUUCUCACGCUCUUCCUACUUCGUGAUCAAGAGGGACGUUCUGAAGAAUGGUUUGGUUUCUAGAAGGAAAUAAAUGCCAUCCUGCAGAGGUUCAGAGAGGGGGAGAGAUGUGGCUGGGAAGAGCUCUGGACUCUUUCAAGUUUCCGCUCAAAGCAGAAAUGCCUUCCUGGAAAGGAAGGCUUCAGAAGGACAGACUCUGAGGGAUGUUCAGAUGACUCUUACUGCAAAGGAGGACCACAGGGCUGAAAGAUGGAGCACCAGCCAUCCUCAACCCACACCGCACCUCUUGUUACCCAGAGAGAGGUGGGAGGCUGAGGCCACACGUGUGAGGUGGGAGCAGCUGGAUGGGAGAAGACCCUCACGGAGCCCAGGCCAAGUUUAGAGUCUUAUGCGGUGGUUCUCAAACUUGGGCAUGCAAAAGUGAAUGGACAGAUGAAUGAAUGAACAAACAAAAAACCACAGAAGAUCACCUUUCAGGGAACGAGAGUGAAAUGCAGAUUCUUGUGCUCAUUUGAGCAGCACAUCUACAAAAACUGGAAAGAUGCAGAGAAGACUAGCAUGGCCCCUAUGCGAGCAUGAUGCCCGGACAGAUGAAGUGGUCCACAUUUUUGAAACAGGGCGUUCUGGAUUGUAAACCAGGACCAAAAAAAAAAAAAAAAGCACAACCUUAAGCU
rnacentral:lncRNA from 1 species